CUGAAGUCUGCAGGAUGGUAGCUCUCCAGGAGCAGGGUUGGAGAUCCCUGAACUAAACCAACAGGGUCCUAGAACUGCGGUCCUGAAACUGCAGCCAUCGCUAUAUCAUCCAUUACGCUGGAUACUAUUGGAUGAAGGACCUGGAGGAUCUACUUCCAAAUCGCUCUCUUGCGUCCCCUGCUCCUCCAGAGAAUAGCGCAGAAAAAAAACCAUGACCAGGGUGGAAAAUCUCCAAAAGUGAAACCAGGCACAGCUGGAGGUGGUGUGCUUCUGCAGGAAGAUGAGUCAUUCGCGUCAGCUAAUCCUAAUGCCCGGGGGCCUUUGACUCGAGCGCUAGGCCCCAGGGGACCUGGACCUCUACCUGGCCAACCAGGGGCAGGCAGGGGUCAAGAGCUAACACCUAGAAGGGAGUAAUCUGUGAUCUAGUCAUAAUUGUGUGCCCUGUUGGUCUACACACUCUAUAAUUAAUGUAAACUUUUUUUUUUUUUCAUCUUCAUUGAACAAUAUGGAUAGUUUUCUCAUUUACAGCUUGGAAAGUGUUCUCUCGUUUUGUUUGUUUUUGUUUUUUUUAAAAUGCUUGCUUUGGUAUUUUGUUGAUGCAGUGAGAUGUAUUUUUAAUUGUGUCUGAAGUGUCUAAAUUCUCUUUGGGCCUACUGUAUGUGUUAUGUGUUUAAUGCAUUUAUAUUAUACCACCACAUAUAUCUGCUUUAUUAUUGAACUAC
ensembl:lncRNA